GGAAGGUGCAAGCGUUAAUCGGAAUUACUGGGGCGUAAAGCGCGCGUAGGCGGCUAGAUAAGUCGGGUGUGAAAGCCCUGGGGCUCAACCUGGGGAACUGCAUUCGAUACUGUCUAGCUAGAGUGUGGUAGAGGGAGGCGGAAUUCCGCAUGUAGCGGUGAAAUGCGUAGAGAUGCGGAGGAACACCAAUGGCGAAGGCAGCCUUCUGGACCAACGCUGACGCUGAGGCGCGAAAGCGUGGGGAGCAAACAGGAUUAGAUACCCUGGUAGUCCACGCCGUAAACGAUGUCAACUAGCCGUUGGGAGCAUUUUGGCUCUUGGUGGCGCAGCUAACGCGAUAAGUUGACCGCCUGGGGAGUACGGUCGCAAGAUUA
rnacentral:rRNA from 1 species